AGGGCACAACACAACCGUUGGCCGUUGUGUUUGCACGCUCUUCACCUUGCUCCUGCCCUCGCCUUUCACUCUUCUUAUCCCCCCAAUAGCCCGAUCAUUCCUGACAGCUCCUGAGUUCUUGGAUUUCCUCUUCCAAUCCCUGCAGGAUGCUCCCCUUUGUUGUGGGGAAGGCUGUCCCAGACAGAGAGGAGGAGAUGGAGGUGGAUACAGAGAUUGAUAGAGAGGAGGACAUGGAGACGGAGGGAGCAGACACUGGAGAGGAGGAGAUGGAGGUGGAGGUGAAGGUGGAAGAGGAGAUGGAUGUGGAUAUGGAAGAGUCCAUUGUGGACAUGGAUAUUGAUUAAGAAGGUGCGAUGGACAUCACAGACAGAGUCACCACCCUUUUGUAUAUAUGUUCUACAGGUUGUUGUUGUUCUUUAGAAUGUAGAUUGUAGGGCUAUUUUUGACUUCUGUAAAUACAUAGUUUUGUUAGGUAGGUUUUGCUA